rnacentral:lncRNA from 1 species
GCUCCCCAAACCAUUCUUCUUAUCUCAGAAAGAAAUCCUCUGGAUUUAGCUAUAUUUGACAUUUCAUGUAAAUAUAAGCAGACAAUAUGCGUCCUUUUGGCCUGAGUUUUUUCACUGAGUGUCAUGUUUCAAGGCCGUGCUCCAUUUUUUUUGUGAUUGACUACUAUUCCAGCCUACGAAUAUGCCGCACGGUGGUUCAUCUCUCUCUGCCGAUGGACAUUUGGGCUGUUUCUACGUUUCGAAUGAUGUAAACGAGCUGUGUGUCUUCUUCAAUAAAUGCCCAUUGAAGUCUUUUGCCUAUUUUUUAAUGGGGUUGUUGGUCAUUUUGUUGCUGAGUUGUAUGCAUAGUUUAUGUGUUCUGGAUACUUGAUCCUGAUGAGCUCAGUGAACAUUUAUAAACAAACUGACCAUAGCAGCCCCCACUCCAAUGAAAACGCCACCUGUGACGGCCCCCAGAGGCCCCUCGUCCCUCCUGGUCCCUGCCCCGGGGGCCCCAUCCUGACUUCCAUUGCUGGCAGCGGGUAGGUUCAUGUCGGCUGCUCUUGAAUUCCUCCUGCCUGGGCUGCCCCGCGUGAUCCACUGAGUGUGGCAGAGACGUGUCGUGCUGCUGCCUUCAGCAGCUCCACCUGCUUGCUGAGAAGGUUCCCGGUGCGUUUGGAAGGCAGAGGCUCCUGGGCUUGCAGGUUUGGGAAAAUUAUCCAGAACUUGGAAAGGGGUAAAAACAUCACUGCCUGCUCUUUGGAUCCUGGACCCUCGGCACGGUGGGCCUCAGAGCUGAUCAUUCCCUGGGGUGGGGCCGUCCUGGGCACUGCUGGGUGCUGAGCAGUGUCCCUGGCCUCCGCCCACUCCACACCAGGAGCUCCCCUAGUCGUGACAACCACAGAAGCCCCAGACGUUGCCCCGUGUCCCCGAGGGGCCGAAUCACCCAGAGGAUCAGUUGUAUUCCAGAGCCUCGACCAGCCCGGCCACCCGGGGGUCACUUUGUGGACGCUUCCCUCCACUCUUGCCAGUGUCCUGGCUCUGGGGUUGGACGCUGCUUGGGAUUGACAAAUGCGGAUGAGUUUUGUCCCUGAGCGGCAGGUGCCUCCUUCCUCCUGCUGCGUAUAAAACUCAGUCCAGUCCUGCCGUUCCUUAGUAAACACUCGGACGCACCUUUGACCUACAGUGGCCCGUGGUCUGAAUGAGGUUUAUGCGUGAGUGCUUUGAAAGCUCAAUGUUGCCAUCACCUGAAGCCUAGAGGGCAGUGUGCACUGGGCACCUCACUUACACAGGAGGAAACUGAGGCUCAGAGAGGGGGAGGGGCUGGCAGUGUGGGAGCUGCAGUCCUUGAUCUGAGCUGUCCCCGUGACUUUGGGAGAUGAGGAAGGAGCAUUCUGUGGCUUGGCUGGGGGAGCCCAGGUGGGAGGGGAGGGUGGGGACACAGUGGCUGGUGGGCGGGGGGGUGCCUCUGAGCCGCCUGGGCCACAGGCAAAGGGGUUAGGGAGGUGAGAGGGGAGCUUGGGGGCAAGGGUCAUGUGUCUCCACGGCCGGGCAGGUGCACACUCCCAGGGAGGCCACGAGGACUCUGUGGCCCGGGGAUUGGAGUGAACCACGCUGAAAGGGGUUCCCAGGCCCACCCUCACUCUUGCAGGGGUCCCCAGGCCCACCCUCACUCUUCCAGGGUUCCCAGGCCCACCCUCACUCUUCCAGGGUUCCCAGGCCCACUCUCACUCUUCCAGGGUUCCCAGGCCCACCCUCACUCUUCCAGGGGUCCCCAGGCCCACCCUCACUCUUCCAGGGGUUCCCAGGCCCACCCUCACUCUUGCAGGGGUUCCCAGGCCCACCCUCACUCUUCCAGGGGUCCCCAGGCCCACCCUCACUCUUCCAGGGGUCCCCAGGCCCACCCUCACUCUUCCAGGGGUCCCCAGGCCCACCCUCACUCUUCCAGGGUUCCCAGGCCCACCCUCACU